CUUUAAUGAGCAAGACUGAAUUGAAACUUUCAGUAGUUUCCAGGCUCCUUCUUGAAUGCGAGACUCUAAUUAGGAACCAUCUAAUGAAUGAUUUCACAAAACUGUCGCUGAAAAUAUAAGCAAGAAAUAAGAGGAGAGGAAGAAUUGAGAGGGGAAAAGAGAGAGAAGAGAAAAAGAGAGUGAGGACGGAAGGAAAGGAGAGGAUUUGAUAGACGGUGUACAGCAGCGUCUUAGAAACGUCGUUAGAAAAUGUUCCUUUUCCAGGAAAUUCAAAGACUGGAGAACAGGAAAGAAGAGGAGAAAAAAAGGAGGGAAAAAAGAUAAUAGAAGAUGAGAGAAUGGAUGGCAGCUGAGGAAAUGGGAGAGAGGCAAGAGGUUCCAGAUUCCAGGCAGCCUCCCUCUUGCCUCCUGAUUCCUCUCUCAUCUCAAAGCCUGGUCACCAAUGUCCUACAAAACAGCUAAGAGCGUUUUAACCCAUUUCCGGUGGAGCUAUGUGAUGAUCCUUUGCCGUGUAAGCGUGAGGCCCUUGGACUAACGGAUGACUCUCUCAGGGAAGCUUCCGCUGACCAGCUCAUUAGGCCAAUCAUCACGUUAGAAGCCUGACUCCUUGCCACCACCGUGAUGUGAAGAAGCCCACACGAUCUACAUAUGGAGGGAGAGGCCAAGUGGAGAAGCACCACAGGGAUCAAACACGUGAGUGGAGAUUUCUUGGACCUUCAGCCUCACUCAG
rnacentral:lncRNA from 1 species